AAAUAUAUAAAAGAGGGACGAAAGAUACCAAAGGGACAGUCAAACUCAUAACUCUAAAACAAACUGACAACGCCAUAGCUAAAAAUGAAAAAGACAAACAGAAAAACAAUAGUACACAUGACACAACAUAGAAAACUAAAGAAUAAACAACACGAACCCCACCAAAAACUAGGGGUGAUCGCAGGUGCUCCGGAAGGGUAAGCAGAUCCUGCUCCACAUGUGGCACCCGUUGUGUUGCUUAUGUGAUUACAAAUCCGGUAAAUAGUCUAAUUCGGUAGGUCACAUUCAUGAAAGGGAAGGGGAUUGUAGUUA
rnacentral:lncRNA from 1 species